rnacentral:rRNA from 1 species
UUUUAUGGUCACACUACCCUGAAUGUGCCCGAUCUUAUCUGAUCUCAGAAGCUAAGCAGGGUCAGGCCUGGUUAGUACUUGGAUGGGAGACCACUGGGUGUAACAGGUGCUACAGGCU